UUUAAACUAUGCGCUUCGUUUUGCAGGUUGAUGUUUGUUAUCAGCACUGAACGAAAAUAAAGCAGUAACCCGCAAUGUGUGCGAAUUAUUGGCAAAAGGCAACCACAGGCUGCCUUUUUCUUU
rnacentral:sRNA from 1 species